rnacentral:rRNA from 1 species
CUGUAGGGAGAAGGGAGACGAUGGCUAGGGAUGCAGCGAUGACAUUCCGAGAACUCAAAUUCGUCGCAUCAAUGGCGAUGAUUGUCGGAGGGCGUAACCUGACGAACUUCGGAGCAGAGACGUGGGCAGGAGAUGACAGGAACAGAGUCGGUCCACUGCUUUAAGCGGAGAUCAACUGCGUCAAUUACCCGCAAAUGAGAAGGUAGUAGUAAAGCCAGACGUUUCUGUUCUUGACAUGAAUCCAUCCGUUUCUACUGCACAAAGAUUAUAGUGGCAUCAAUUGAUUCAGUGGAGAAGGUGUAGAGGGAGAGGAGGGUCGUGGAUAACACAGGUGGCUGUGGUGGGGAGCAGAGGAGUCGCCGCGAUGGGGAGGAAAGGGAGAGACUGUGAUAGGGAGCAGGGGAGGAGCCGCGAUGGGGAAGAAAG